rnacentral:rRNA from 1 species
UACGGAGGUGGCAAGCGUUGUUCGGAAUUACUGGGCGUAAAGGGCGCGUAGGCGGCCCUCUUAGUCGCGUGUGAAAGCCCCGGGCUCAACCUGGGAACGGCGCGCGAAACGGGAGGGCUGGAGUUCGGGAGAGGAGAGUGGAAUUCCCAGUGUAGAGGUGAAAUUCGUAGAUAUUGGGAAGAACACCGGUGGCGAAGGCGGCUCUCUGGACCGAGACUGACGCUGA